UUACAUUUUUUGCAGACUGCUAUGGAGGAAGAACAUAUUAUUUUACAUGCUCCCGAAAUCGAGGCUUAUCUGGAAAGCUUACAACUUUUUGAUAUACCAAAUAUUGGAAGUCCAAGAUGGUUCAAUCAGCAGGAAAAGAUCUACAACCUAUCGCUACAAGCUGCUUUAGAUGUAAAAUCAGGACGAGAAGAAAUAAUAAAAGAAAAUAUAAUAACCUUGCAUAAGGUUCCAUUGUUGGUCCAUGAAUUGAUAGCUACUGAGUUAUGGAGACUGAAAAUAUUCCCUCUGUUGACAAAAAGUCAAACAGUCAUGAAAUCGAAUGUUCCCAUUUAUAUCGUGCUUUAUCAUGAGGUGACUUUAGUUUCGUUUUUGGAAGCUGUUUUGUUUCAUGAAGAUGUCUUCGAAACUGCUGCGGACGUUUUAAUUGAUUUAAUUGACUAUUGUUACCGGAAAAUUAUAAAACUAAGCAGCUUGGAAAACGAAUCCCAUGCAGAUUCACGAUCUGCAGAAGAAGCAAACGUUCUAUAUGAACAAAAGAAAGAUCUGGAUUUUGAAUCUGGAAUGAAAUGCAUUUCCCUUUUAUCAUACAUGACCCAACAUCUCAAAAUAUUACCAUUGAGUGCUUUACAUCGCUUACUCGUAACCCAUGAUAUACCAUUGCUUUUUACAAAUUUAAUUGAUGAUCCUCCUUGGGUACGAACUGUAAAUGAAGAAAAAGAAAAGUAUUAUGAAGGAAAAUGGACUAAAUGCAAUCAAGAAGACUUGAUGAAACUAAACAAAGCAGAGGGACAGGUCUGGAUUGCUUUAAUUCAAUUAUUACUGAAUCCUGAAUGCCAAAAGAAAUACGAUAUGACAGGCUAUAAAAAAGACCAAUUAUUAAAACUUAGAUCCAAGCUAAAUGAUGUGAUCUUCGACCAAAUACCUAUUUUAAACGAACUAUUACGGUUUUUGGAAUAUCUCAGUAUGUUUGAAGCUCCUAUUCCAAAAACCGGUAUUAUUAUCGAGCAGGUAAGAUUUUUUUAAGUGUGAAUAAUGUUCUUCUGUAACGUUUAAAAUAAUUAUUUGAUUAUUUAUUUCAACUAGCCCUCUAAACAUUUUUUAAAUAACAGGUUCCAGAUAUUUGGGAAACUUUACAAAACAAAUAUGAGGGGAAAUGGAAUAGAAUAGCUCAGGGGCAAAUGGAGGAUUAUUUUUCUUUGUCAGAUGCCGAGCUUCAGAAAUUCUGUAAAAAGUUAUCCGGCUCCUUUGAUCUUACGAAUAUUGAAGCUGCUCUUCCAGAUACUCCAAUCUGCGCAACAUGCGGUGGAAUAGGCUUAAAACGAUGUUCUAGGUGCAAAAACGAAUGGUACUGUGGAAGAUCCUGCCAAGUUUCUCAUUGGCUUAAGCAUAAGACAGGUUGUGAUUUAAUGGCUUGUGAAACAGAAAACACUUAAAAGAACUGCCAAACAAUUUAUUAGAAUUAUGUAAUAAGUUUAAGGGUAUUCUGAAAAUC